AAGGGAAGCUAUCGGUGACGGUGCGCGAAUCCCAAAAAUAACGUCUCAGUUCGGAUUGUAGUCUGCAACUCGACUACAUGAAGCUGGAAUCGCUAGUAAUCGCGGAUCAGAAUGCCGCGGUGAAUACGUUCCCGGGUCUUGUACACACCGCCCGUCACACCAUGGGAGUCGGAAAUGCCCGAAGUCAGUGACCCAACCGCAAGGAGGGAGCUGCCGAAGGUGGAGCCGGUAACUGGGGUGAAGUCGUAACAAGGUAGC
rnacentral:rRNA from 1 species